UUGCAUUUCAUCAUUUAGAAAAUUAUAAAUAUUUUGACAGAAAGCAUGCAUGAUAUCUUCAUACAUGAUAUUAUUUAUGCGAUAACAAAAUUUUAAAAAUCCGAGAAGACCAUAACUGAUGCAGCCAAGGAAGUUCCCUAUUAGAUCUACAUGAAUUUCCAUUUCCAAUCCAUAAAAAUUAAAAAUUGAGCUUAAACCGCAUAAUAUAAAAACCGAGUUUCAUACAGCUAAAAAUAAUGUCCUCUGCCUGCCUACAAUUAGUUCUUCACAUUAGCUUUCAAUAAAAUAGCACGUUAAACUUGUAUUCCAACAUUAAAACCAUUUAAAAAAAAAUUCCAAUUAAAAAGACAAAAUAUUUACGCUUAAGGUGCCAGUGUACCAUAUGAACUUCCAAACCAAUAAUUCAACCAUGUGCGUAUACAAAAGAACAAAAUUUUAAAAAUGAAGAAGAAGAAGAAGAAUUUGUACUUGUUUGUUACAACACUUUUUAUUUACUUUUUCU
rnacentral:misc_RNA from 1 species